UUUUCUCUCAUCUCCAAUCAAAAGCAUAUUUGAGCUAGGUUCCGGCGUCGAGUGCAAGAAGCAUCUUUCUUCCAUUUCAUGUCUCCUUUCUUGAUGUUCCUCGGUCCUUUCGGUUCUUCUCUGGCAUAUCGCAAAAUAUGUUGUAGGGUUUCUAUUCGGCUUGGGCUCUGCUUACGAAGGGUAUGUCUCUGCUGCUCUGGCUUCCCAGUAAAAUAAAUUAAUUGGACCAUAAUAUCCUUUUCCAACUAAAAAAAAUCGAUUUGAUCUUCAUGUAACUAGGCCUAGAAAACACAUCUGUAAUACUCGUUAUGUAAGUCAAUGAGUGUAUACCAUAUACGUGAAUAUCAAUCAAAGGGAAAAACAUGAUAUUAGAUCUAAUAAAUAAGGUGGGGGAGACACAACUAAAAUGAAAUAUACUUGAAUCAAGGGCAAUGAUGAAGUGGUAAAUAAUUUUGACGAGACGAUAGGGGAAAUCAAUUCGGGUCCCUUCAUUUUGCACUGAUUAUCAAACUUAUUCGUUCGUUGGCGGUAGGUUCAUUCCGUUCAGCUCAAUUUAUUAUCUGUACUUUGUUUUGCCCCACCACUUUCAUCUAUUUUAAUAUAUGCUUUUUUCUUUACCACAUGGGAAUAAAUAGACCAUAAGAUAUAUUUUUGUACCUAAGAUCAAGAAAAUAUGUACUUUCUUUCAGUUUGAGUUGCAGCUGUCGAGCAAAUAUUUGAUAAGAAUGAAAGAUUUGAAUGGUUACAUUACAUAUUUAUUACAUUUGGUAUUAGCAAGAAGAUAGUGAAAACACACUGACAUAAGCAUUCACAUUCAUGG
rnacentral:lncRNA from 1 species